rnacentral:rRNA from 1 species
UACGUAGGGUGCGAGCGUUGUCCGGAAUUAUUGGGCGUAAAGAGCUUGUAGGCGGUUUGUCGCGUCUGCCGUGAAAAUUCGAGGCUCAACCUCGAACUUGCGGUGGGUACGGGCAGACUAGAGUGUGGUAGGGGAGACUGGAAUUCCUGGUGUAGCGGUGAAAUGCGCAGAUAUCAGGAGGAACACCAGUGGCGAAGGCGGCGACCUGGGCCAAUAUUGACGCUGAGGUGCGAAAGCGUGGGGAGCAAACAGG